rnacentral:rRNA from 1 species
UUAGAGUUUGAUCCUGGCUCAGGAUGAACGCUAGCGGCAGGCUUAACACAUGCAAGUCGAGGGGCAGCGAGAUCAGUGCUUGCACUGAUUGUCGGCGACCGGCGCACGGGUGCGUAACGCGUAUGCAACCUACCCAUUACAGGGGGAUAACACUGAGAAAUCGGUACUAAUACCCCAUAACAUCCAGGGAGGCAUCUUCUUGGGUUGAAAACUCCGGUGGUAAUGGAUGGGCAUGCGUUGUAUUAGUUAGUUGGUGGGGUAACGGCUCACCAAGACAACGAUACAUAGGGGGACUGAGAGGUUAACCCCCCACAUUGGUACUGAGACACGGACCAAACUCCUACGGGAGGCAGCAGUGAGGAAUAUUGGUCAAUGGACGCAAGUCUGAACCAGCCAUGCCGCGUGCAGGAAGACGGCUCUAUGAGUUGUAAACUGCUUUUGUACGAGGGUAAACGCAGAUACGCGUAUCUGUCUGAAAGUAUCGUACGAAUAAGGAUCGGCUAACUCCGUGCCAGCAGCCGCGGUAAUACGGAGGAUUCAAGCGUUAUCCGGAUUUAUUGGGUUUAAAGGGUGCGUAGGCGGUCGGAUAAGUUAGAGGUGAAAUCCCGGGGCUCAACUUCGGAAUUGCCUCUGAUACUGUUCGGCUAGAGAGUAGUUGCGGUAGGCGGAAUGUAUGGUGUAGCGGUGAAAUGCUUAGAGAUCAUACAGAACACCGAUUGCGAAGGCAGCUUACCAAGCUACUUCUGACGUUGAGGCACGAAAGCGUGGGGAGCAAACAGGAUUAGAUACCCUGGUAGUCCACGCAGUAAACGAAGAUAACUGGUAGUGGGAGAAACAAGUGUCGGUGACUAAGCGAAUAGCGAUAAGUUAUCCACCUGGGGAGUACGUUCGCAAGAAUGAAACUCAAAGGAAUUGACGGGGGCCCGCACAAGCGGAGGAACAUGUGGUUUAAUUCGAUGAUACGCGAGGAACCUUACCCGGGCUUUAAAGUUAGUGACGGAUCUUGAAAGAGGUCUUCCCUUCGGGGCACGAAACUAGGUGCUGCAUGGUUGUCGUCAGCUCGUGCCGUGAGGUGUCGGGUUAAGUCCCAUAACGAGCGCAACCCCUACCGUUAGUUGCCAGCAGGUCAAGCUGGGCACUCUGACGGGACUGCCGGUGUAAGCCGAGAGGAAGGUGGGGAUGACGUCAAAUCAGCACGGCCCUUACGUCCGGGGCUACACACGUGUUACAAUGGCAGGUACAGAGGGCAGCUACCCAGCGAUGGGAUGCGAAUCUCGAAAGCCUGUCUCAGUUCGGAUUGGAGGCUGAAACCCGCCUCCAUGAAGUUGGAUUCGCUAGUAAUCGCGCAUCAGCCAUGGCGCGGUGAAUACGUUCCCGGGCCUUGCACUCACCGCCCGUCA